UCCCCCAGCACUGGGCAAAGAGACACCUUGCUGUUGGUGUUCUUCUAUCAGUCAGGGGCAGAGCAGAUGGUAGUCCUUUGUUCAUCCUAGCCAGAUGCCUGGCUUUGUGGCCAAAGCUGUUUUAUGCCUAGGACUCAUAA